GACGAACGCUGGCGGCGUGCCUAAUACAUGCCAGUAGAACGCACAGUUUAUACCGUAGCUUGCUACACCAUAGACUGUGAGUUGCGAACGGGUGAGUAACGCGUAGGUAACCUGCCUGGUAGCGGGGGAUAACUAUUGGAAACGAUAGCUAAUACCGCAUAAUAUUGAUUAUUGCAUGAUAAUUAAUUGAAAGGUGCAAUUGCACCACUACCAUAUGGACCUGCGUUGUAUUAGCUAGUAGGUGAGGUAACGGCUCACCUAGGCGACGAUACAUAGCCGACCUGAGAGGGUGAUCGGCCACACUGGGACUGAGACACGGCCCAGACUCCUACGGGAGGCAGCAGUAGGGAAUCUUCGGCAAUGGACGAAAGUCUGACCGAGCAACGCCGCGUGAGUGAAGAAGGGUUUCGGAUCGUAAAGCUCGGUUGUAAGAGAAGAACGGGUGUGAGAGUGGAAAGUUCACACUGUGACGGUAUCUUACCAGAAAGGGACGGCUAACUACGUG
rnacentral:rRNA from 1 species